UACAGAGGUCGCAAGCGUUGUUCGGAUUCAUUGGGCGUAAAGGGCGCGUAGGCGGCUCGGUAAGUCGGGUGUGAAAUCUCGGGGCUUAACUCCGAAACUGCAUUCGAUACUGCCGUGCUUGAGGACUGGAGAGGAGACUGGAAUUUACGGUGUAGCGGUGAAAUGCGUAGAUAUCGUAAGGAAGACCAGUGGCGAAGGCGGGUCUCUGGACAGUACCUGACGCUGAGGCGCGAAGGUCAGGGGAGCGAACGGG
rnacentral:rRNA from 1 species